GACGAACGCUGGCGGCGUGCUUAACACAUGCAAGUCGAACGGCGAAGCGCUUUCCUUUUUGGUGGGUGGGGAGGAGGGGCGAACGGGGGAGGAACACGUGAGUAACCUGCCCCCUCCUGGUGGAUAACCGCAUGAAAGUGUGGCUAAUACCGGAUAUGCUGGGCCGGUCGAAUGAGGGGUCCGGGAAAGCUUUUGUGUCGGUGGGGGAGGGGCUCGCGGCCUAUCAGUUUGUUGGUGGGGUGGUGGCCUAGCAAGGCGGUGAAGGGCAGCCGGCCGGGGAGGGUCGGCCAUCCUGCAGCGGCUGAACCACCGCGCCGCCUCCUACAGGAGGCAGCAGUGAGUAUUCUUGCACGAUGGGCAGAAGGCUGCUGCAGCGCCGCCGCGGGGAGGAUGGAGGCCUUCUGGUUGUGAACCUCUUUCGCCAGUGAAGCAGGCCUGCCUCGUUUGUGGGUGUGUUGACGGUACCUGGAUAAGAAGCGCCGGCUAACUACGUG
rnacentral:rRNA from 1 species